AAGGGCACCACAAGAACGCGUGGAGCAUGUGGCUUAAUUUGACUCAACGCGGGAAAUCUUACCGGGUCCGGACACACUGAGGAUUGACAGGUAAUACAAUGAUCGAGCAACCUAGUUGCUUGUGAAUUGUGAACAAAUAUGCUAGUCCUUUCAUGAUUAUGUGAUAGGUGGUGCAUGGCCGUUCUUAGUUCGUGGAGUGAUCUGUCUGCUUAAUUGCGUUUCACAUAGAACCUAUCAAUAAUUUAGAUGCUUUGCUGAUUUAAAUUGACCCCUUCUCUCGAGAUGCGCGCGUCUUUUUACUUUCACGACGUCUAAUGAAUCAGGUUCUGAAAGCAACGAACGUGACCGCAACCUCUUGUUGCCUCUAUUCUAACCAAAAGAGGCUAAGACUCUUUACCGAGUCUAAAACUAGAGGGACCGCUGUUAUCUUCUUUAAACCAGAGGAAGGUUGCGGCAAUAACAGGUCUGUGAUGCCCUUAGAUGUUCCGGGCUGCACACGUGCUACAAUGAUUAUUGCAGUGAGCAUCUCAUACUCAUUACAUCAAUUUUGUAGUCGUUGCAUUUUUUCCUUUUUUGGAAAGAUGCUUCUGAUUUACAAUUUGAUCCAGCCUACUUCGAAAGUAAGCGGGUAAUCAAUUAGAAGUAAUGAUUUCCUAAGUUUGUACACCUAUAUAUGGCAUGUCAUGCCCUUUGCCACUUUUAUAGUGGUAUCUGUGUGUAUGCGUGUUAACUUCUUUCUUAAAGUUGUUAUUUCCAUAUGUUACAAUUGUUAAUUCAUGGUGGGGACAGACCAUUGUCUUUAAUUGUUGGUCUCGGUCUUAACUAGGAAUGCCUUGUACAGGUUUUUGGUUCAACAAACCACCUGGAAUACGUCCCUGCCCUUUGUACACACCGCCCGUCGCUCUUACCGAUGAACUUCUCUGUGAGUUUGAGGGACUGGCAUAUUCGCUAUGGAAACUUAAACGAACAGUGUGGUUUAAAGGAAAGAGAAGUCGAACAAGGCA
rnacentral:rRNA from 1 species